rnacentral:lncRNA from 1 species
GAAAUUAUAAAGAGUUAUCAUAUAAGUACAUUGUGAAGCAACCGUUUGCUUCUUUCUUUUAUUUUUAAACUUGUUUGGAUCAAGGAUGGCUAUGUAAGCAGAACAAUUCAUCUUUCAAUGAUCCAGCUUCUUACAGAAGAAGUAUUCUGCCUGGCUCUUGUCAACCUUUGAUGUUUUACUCUGUUUAGGAUCGACGACAUGGGAUUUCUGUAUUUUUUCUUUUUUCCUCUCCUAGAGGAUCAACGUCCUGCAGAUGAACCUCUCACUAAAUUUAUCAGCUCUUUCUGGAGCUGAUGGUCCUUUUCAAAAGUCUGCUAUAACCCUAGCA